CGCGACCCCAGGUCAGGCGGGAUUACCCGCUGAGUUUAAGC
rnacentral:rRNA from 3 species